rnacentral:snRNA from 1 species
GGCUGUGAGGGCGAUAUAGCUGUGACAUCUGUCACCCCAUUGAUUGAUUCAGCUAAUCUGGCUGGCUAGGUAGGUGUCACUGUCCCCCCUUACCACUCCAUGUGCAUCCCUCCCGAAGCUGCGCACUCCAUCAAAGAGGAGGACCUUCCCCACUAGAGGAGGACCAUUCUGGGGUCAAGGGUAUGCAAGUAGUGCUCCCAUGAUAGAAUCGCCAGUUUUCAAGACAAUAUACGGAAAAGAUGGAUAAAUUUUACUGCAUAAAAAUAAAAACUUGUU